rnacentral:rRNA from 1 species
GACGAACGCUGGCGGCGUGCUUAACACAUGCAAGUCGAACGGAAAGGCCCUGCUUUUGUGGGGUGCUCGAGUGGCGAACGGGUGAGUAACACGUGAGUAACCUGCCCUUGACUUUGGGAUAACUUCAGGAAACUGGGGCUAAUACCGGAUAGGAGCUCCUGCUGCAUGGUGGGGGUUGGAAAGUUUCGGCGGUUGGGGAUGGACUCGCGGCUUAUCAGCUUGUUGGUGGGGUAGUGGCUUACCAAGGCUUUGACGGGUAGCCGGCCGGAGAGGGUGAACGGCCACCUUGGGACUGAGGUACGGACCAGACUCCUACGGGAGGCAGCAGUGGGGAAUAUUGCACAAUGGGCGGAAGCCUGAUGCAGCAACGCCGCGUGCGGGAUGACGGCCUUCGGGUUGUAAACCGCUUUCGCCUGUGACGAAGCGUGAGUGACGGUAAUGGGUAAAGAAGCACCGGCUAACUACGUG